UACGGAGGAUCCAAGCGUUAUCCGGAUUUAUUGGGUUUAAAGGGUGCGUAGGCGGGGAAUCAAGUCAGCGGUGAAAGUUUGCGGCUCAACCGUAAAAUUGCCGUUGAAACUGGUUCUCUUGAGUGUAGAUGAGGUGGGUGGAAUUCGUGGUGUAGCGGUGAAAUGCUUAGAUAUCACGAAGAACUCCAAUUGCGUAGGCAGCUCACUGGGCUACAACUGACGCUGAGGCACGAAGGUGCGGGGAUCAAACAGGAUUAGAUACC
rnacentral:rRNA from 1 species